rnacentral:rRNA from 1 species
ACCUCGAUGUCGGCUCAUCACAUCCUGGGGCUGAAGCCGGUCCCAAGGGUAUGGCUGUUCGCCAUUUAAAGUGGUACGCGAGCUGGGUUUAGAACGUCGUGAGACAGUUCGGUCCCUAUCUGCCGUGGACGUUUGAGAUUUGAGAGGGGCUGCUCCUAGUACGAGAGGACCGGAGUGGACGAACCUCUGGUGUUCCGGUUGUCACGCCAGUGGCAUUGCCGGGUAGCUAUGUUCGGAAAAGAUAACCGCUGAAAGCAUCUAAGCGGGAAACUUGCCUCAAGAUGAGAUAU